rnacentral:rRNA from 1 species
UGGGGAAUAUUGCACAAUGGGCGCAAGCCUGAUGCAGCCAUGCCGCGUGUGUGAAGAAGGCCUUCGGGUUGUAAAGCACUUUCAGCGAGGAGGAAGGCGUUAAGGUUAAUAACCUUGGCGAUUGACGUUACUCGCAGAAGAAGCACCGGCUAACUCCGUGCCAGCAGCCGCGGUAAUACGGAGGGUGCAAGCGUUAAUCGGAAUUACUGGGCGUAAAGCGCACGCAGGCGGUUUGUUAAGUCAGAUGUGAAAUCCCCGAGCUUAACUUGGGAACUGCAUUUGAAACUGGCAAGCUAGAGUCUUGUAGAGGGGGGUAGAAUUCCAGGUGUAGCGGUGAAAUGCGUAGAGAUCUGGAGGAAUACCGGUGGCGAAGGCGGCCCCCUGGACAAAGACUGACGCUCAGGUGCGAAAGCGUGGGGCAGCAAACAGGAUUAGAUACCCUGGUAGUCCACGCUGUAAAACGAUGUCGAUUUGGAGGUUG